rnacentral:rRNA from 1 species
UGACUAUAAACGAUGCCGACGCAGGAUCCGGUGGGGGCGAGAGCUCAGCGGGGGACUGUGGGAGAAAAUCAGAGUGUUUGGGUUCUGGGGAGAAUAUGGUCGCAAGGCUGAAAUUUAAAGGAAUUGACGGAAGGGCACCACCAGGAGUGGAGCCUGCGGCUUAAUUUGACCCAACACGGGAAAACUCACCAGGUCCGGACAUACUAAGGAUUGACAGAUUGAGAGCUCUUUCAUGAUUGUGUGGGUGGUGGUGCAUGGCCGUUCUUAGUUGGUGGAGUGAUUUGUCUGGUUAAUUCCGAUAACGAACGAGACCUUGACCUGCUGACUGCGGGAAGUGCUUCGGCAUGGAACGGCACUCAGAGGGACGGGCUGCGGGGAGCAGCCGGAGGUGCGAGGCAAUAACAGGUCUGUGAUGCCCUUUGAUGUUCUGGCUGCACGCGCGCUACACUGACAGAGGCAGCGAGUGACCUUUGCCG